GGGAGUGGUCUAGGCUUCGACGAAAGGUUGAAACUAGAUAAGCAAGCAGAGUUCAAACUCUUUAAAAUUUGAAACAACCGAUAAACGGCAACGUUAAUCGAACUCCAGCAUUAGCUUACGCUUAAAUGCUGCAUCGGCGGCUGAUGCUCGUUAGGUCAUCACCGGUGUUAAACAGCGAGCUUAGUUUCUUAGUUGUCGGGACUAGGAAAUAAAAAUUAACCGACAAAGACUAAUUAGUUUUUUGCCAAGAAUGAGCUAAUUGGUCUCAAAAUUUAACUUGGCUAAGCUUGUAGAAUAUCUGGCAGAAAUAUUUCGGACAGGGGUUCAAUUCCCCUCACUUCCACCA
rnacentral:tmRNA from 1 species